GAAAGUGUCGAACAACUCACCUGGUCCC
rnacentral:sRNA from 1 species